UACGGGGGGGCAAGGCGUUAGUUCGGAAAUCAUUGGGCGUAAAGGGGUGCGAUAGGCGGUGCGGGUAAGUCUGGUGUGGAAAGUCCCCGAAGCCUUGAACUCGGGAGUACCGCGCCAUGAGACUGCCGUGCUUGGAGUGUGGGAGAGGAGAGGUGGAAUUCCCGGUGUAGCGGUGAAAUGCGUAGAUAUGGUGAGACACCAGUGGCGAAGGCGGUCUCCUGGGGCGAUUCUUGACGCUGAGGCGCGAAAGCUGGGGGGAGCGAACGGGG
rnacentral:rRNA from 1 species